UACAGAGGGGGCAAGCGUUGUUCGGAAUUACUGGGCGUAAAGGGCGCGUAGGUGGCCUUCUAAGUCGGACGUGAAAUCCCUCGGCUCAACCGGGGAACUGCGUCCGAUACUGGAUGGCUUGAGUUCGGGAGAGGGAUGCGGAAUUCCAGGUGUAGCGGUGAAAUGCGUAGAUAUCUGGAGGAACACCGGUGGCGAAGGCGGCAUCCUGGACCGACACUGACGCUGAGGAGCGAAAGCCAGGGGAGCAAACGGG
rnacentral:rRNA from 1 species